rnacentral:ncRNA from 1 species
UGCUGCGGCGGGGCGGGCUGUCUUUCCCAAGGAACUCAAGGAUGAAAGAACCCCACCAAGCCCCACCCCUCCCGCCCGCCGAGCACACUCACCCCGACGGGUGAACAUCGCCGACUCGGCUGGAUUCGGGGCCGGUUGAUGCCCUUACGCUCAGCGCAGCACCACCACAACCGCAGACAUGCGACGGCCCCCGCCAGGACGGCAAUCCCAGUGCGAGGGCCUGACCACCGAGGAAGAUCGGACCUCUUCCUG